GGGGGCGACAUGGCUUCGACGUGGGUUGCAAAACCUGAGGUGCAUGCCGAGGAUACAGAUAGCCUCGUUAAUAAAUCUGUAACACUAUAGUUGCCAACGACGACAACUACGCGCUCGCUGCUUAAAAACCAGUAGAGGCCGUCUGACCGGAGCCGUGCUUGUGCGUCCGGAGUCUCCCUGGAGACACUCAGGCGUCGAUUCUCACAAGAUCGUGAUGACGCUCGUCCGGGGCCGAUUCAUUAAAACCCAACCGGAAUCGCCGUCCGUCUUCCCUGCCCGUCGGGUAGCGGCCGGUUAAACUCAAAGACCGGGAUAAGCAUGUAGAGCCAAAGGCGGAGAGCUUGCGGACGCGGGUUCGAUUCCCGCCGCCUCCACCA
rnacentral:tmRNA from 1 species